CCCUCGCAUUCGUGCGAGUCCUCACCGGAAAAAAUUCUAGAAUGCAACGGAUAUAUUAAUGACGUGGCGUAACAAAUUAAUCAAAUUAAUACUUUUAAAAAUAUAUGUCCCAUCAUGAUUGUAAAAAAGUAUUUUUAUUGUACUUUUGUUUGAAAAGAAGGAAUGUGAUUGGCUUGUUAUUGAUGACGUGGUGCAAGUGUGACAGUGUAGAAUUCCUCCCUCACCGGAUGGCUACACUUUGAAUAUUAAUCUGUUCAUCAU
rnacentral:lncRNA from 1 species